CCUACGGGAGGCAGCAGUGAGGAAUAUUGGUCCAUGGACGAGAGUCUGAACCAGCCAAGUAGCGUGAAGGAUGACUGCCCUAUGGGUUGUAAACUUCUUUUAUAUGGGAAUAAAAUGUUCCACGUGUGGGAUUUUGUAUGUACCAUAUGAAUAAGGAUCGGCUAACUCCGUGCCAGCAGCCGCGGUAAUACGGAGGAUCCGAGCGUUAUCCGGAUUUAUUGGGUUUAAAGGGAGCGUAGGUGGAUUGUUAAGUCAGUUGUGAAAGUUUGCGGCUCAACCGUAAAAUUGCAGUUGAAACUGGCAGUCUUGAGUACAGUAGAGGUGGGCGGAAUGCGUGGUGUAGCGGUGAAAUGCUUAGAUAUCACGAAGAACUCCGAUUGCGAAGGCAGUUCACUGGACUGCAACUGACACUGAGGCUCGAAAGUGUGGGUAUCAAACAGGAUUAGAUACCCCAGUAGUC
rnacentral:rRNA from 1 species